GCAUUCAAGGGGGAUUUCCCUACUUGCUACGAAGGCGCAUUUGCAGAGCCUCUGCAUCGAGAGCUGUGGUUGAUGACUCUCGUCGCCUUUCUGAGAAUGCCGUGCG
rnacentral:ribozyme from 1 species